rnacentral:rRNA from 1 species
GACGAACGCUGGCGGCGUGCUUAACACAUGCAAGUCGAACGGAAAGGCCCAGCUUUCUGGGUACUCGCGUGUCGAACGGGUGUGUAACACGCGUGUUAUCCGCCCCCUACUUUGGGAUAUGCCUGGGAAACUGGGUGGAUUACAGGAUAUGAUCAACUCUCCCGCGGUGGUUGGGUGAAAGCUUUUGCGGUGGUGGAGGGGCCCGCGGCCUAUCAGCUUGUUGGUGGGGUAUUGGCCUACCAAGGCGCCGACGGGUAGCCGACCUGAGAGGGUGAUCGGCCACACUGGGACUGAGACACGGCCCAGACUCCUACGGGAGGCAGCAGUGGGGAAUAUUGCACAAUGGGCGGAAGCCUGAUGCAGCAACGCCGCGUGAGGGAUGACGGCCUUCGGGUUGUAAACCUCUUUCACCAGGGACGAAGCGUGAGUGACGGUACCUGGAGAAGAAGCACCGGCCAACUACGUG